rnacentral:tmRNA from 1 species
GGGGCCGUACUGGAUUUGACAGGGUGAGGCUAGAGUUGUAAGCAUGCAGUGCGUUGUACGAAGAGCACUUUAAAGAUAACGUUCAACUUUAUAAAUGGCGAAAAUAACUACGCCUUAGCAGCCUAAUUUAGAAUUACGCAUGCUUUUGUUCCACUAACUGCUGCAUUGUUAGGUUAGUAUCCGGAGCAUCGAAAUAACAAUGCUGGCUUCUUAGAGGUGCGACUAAGAGGUGAGACAAAGCACCUAAGGUGAAAGAUUAGGUCGGUUUUCAGCCCGUCUUCACUCGAAAAAAAAUUGAAAAAUAAGCAUGUAGAAGGCAAUAUUUAACACACAACUGGACAAGGGUUCGACACCCUUCGGCUCCACAA